UUUUGCUUUUGCCAGAAAUCAGACUUCAGGAUCUUUUCUACACAGAAAUUCAGCACAAUCCUUCAGUGUUGUUACUGUUCAGUAGUGUCUGACAGGGAAGGAAAUUGUUUAGUGGUCCUGUUUAGGAUGGAUUUUUAUUAGCAUUGGAGCAGGCUGCCCAGAGGUGUUGGGCAGUCUCAGGCUUUUGGAGGUUUUCAAGACUAAAUGGAUAAAACUUAUGACUCAAACCACCUUUUUAUCUCGGAGGAAACAAUAUAAAAGCAAAGAAAUAUCCCUUGACAGAAAAGCUCUGUACCACUGCUUCAACUUCAACAUAUGUUCAUGCUUUGCAGUUCCACUUGUAUCUUGGUUUCCAAAAUGCUUUCAGGUAUUGUGAUACUCUAAAGAACCUUUGAAGCAACUGCAUGGUCUCUUUAAGCAACCUUCCCACAUGAAACUUAUUUCUCCAAUAGCCUUCCAAGCAUGAGAUGAUUAUGUGGAAUCUGAUGCUGAGAUACUUAGAGUGGGCCCACACUACAGCUCACCAGUCCUGAGAAGCUUAAAGAGUAAUGCACCUGAAGAAUGCUUCUUCAAUGGGGUGCACCAGGAUUUCUGGAUUGCAAGACUUCAUUUCAGAGAAGAAGGAGGAGGAGGAACAGGAGGAGAAGAAAAAAUAGGAAGAGAAGAAGGAAAAGGAGGAGAACAACCACCACCGCAUUUUCCUCCUUGACCACAGGUGACCAAUGAAGGACACUAAGCUUACAGCAACUUUUAUUUCCUUGGGGAAGUACUGAGCCUAAGCAAAACAUUAGAAUUUUUUACCCAAUUUUAAAGUCUUGACCAAUUUGUGCUUGCUUUGAUUUUGUUGGUUCUCUUCCUGCCAUUUAUAUCAUACCCAAUAGGACAUUAAUAAUCAUUCCAAAGCAUUUUUGAAACAAAACACAGGUUAAGGCAAAAUUUUGGAAUCUGAGCCCUUCAGAGCAGAAGACUAAUAGUAUUAUAAAGCAAUAGUGCAGUGCCUUUGUUGGAUUGAUGUGAAAAAAAUCGUCACAACGGCAUAUUUGCAGCUAUCAAAGUGCUGUGAAGUGUAGUCACUUAAGUGUUGGGAAAAUCUUGGCAAAACCAAAUAUUUAGGAACAAUUCUGCAUUUUCUCCAAAGCCACAUGCAAGAAAUACCUAGAUACUUUCUGGUUACCUAAAAAUGUUUGCAGGGAAGCAAGGCUGAUUGGAGCUGGAAACAUUUUUUCUUAAUCCAUUUAGUAUUCAAUCAUGUUAAGGAAGUGAUGAAUGUUAAACAUCCUAAAAUUUGAAACAAACAAGCAAAAAGUUCUAGUUUUUUUUUUUUUCUCCAUCCCUGAAAAAUCUUACAGAACAAAUCCUCAUUAAGAAGAUUCUUGUCCUAUUUCUGAGCAAAUAUAACAUUUUAGAUUGCAGGUUAAAUCUAUUUCCUUAACUAUUUUUCAGUGUGCUUUCACACAGUGAAGCAGCAGCCAAUAAAAAUAGCUGGUUUUUGAUUCUAUUUGAAUUAUGGCUCAUAUUGUAAAGUAGUCUCACAAAUACUACAAUUUUAGCUCCUUCUUUGGUUCCACUGUCAAUCUCUUUCUUUUUCUGAAUAUAUUGGUCACAGUGCUGGCCUCUUAGAAAUAACCUUAAAGAGCACAGUCAAUUCCCAUUUGUCAUAGCUCUGAGGAGCUCUUAGUGUUUCUAUUCAAAAAUUGUUUACCUUCAGUCUUAAUUUACAGACUUAAAAAUGUAAUAUAAAAACAUUUUUGAUAAUAACAAUCCAGGCAAGAUUCAUUGAAUCUGUGUUCUAAAUCUUAUUACAACCUACUCCAUUUUCCUUUAUAACUAGGGAAUAACUCUUUUUGUAGGCCUGACUGAACUCUAAACUCAUGCAUAGAUAGCAAGCAUUAACCCUUUAAUUUUAAGACUGCUAUAUUAAAAAUAAUCAUUUAUUAAAUAUUGGAAAAGCCCAGAUAUAGUUGGAUUUCUAAUCAGAAACUAAAAAAAUAAAUAACAACAACAACAAACUCCUUUACCUACAUGAAAGAAAAAUUGAUUUUAAAAGUCAUAGCCUUUUUACUAAGAACUUCACAUAGACAUUCUACUUAGGGUUCUCAAGAGCAGGGAAUGAAGGAAUGCAAGCAUUUCUAUGGAAAUUACAGAAUGGAAGAACAGCUACAUUUAUACAAAAAACAUUUGUAGUUAUUUUUUCAGAACAACUGAUCUUUUGGAUGGUGAGUUUGAGAAAAAAUAAAUGUGCUAUUUAGAGCUGCUGAGGAAUCAAAAUGCAUUUUGCUAUAAGUGACAGCUAAUAUCUGUUGGUUUUGAAAAGCUCUCAUAGUCUAUACAACACUGAACGUGCAAUUUGAGGCAUCAAAACCCAGUUGAUGCCAAAAAUAUUGCCCUUCAAAUUUCAUGCAAGUUUGCAAGCAGUGACUCUGUUAUAUAAAUUCUGGUCAUUUGGUGAAUUCACAAUUUGUUGAUUCACAAGGUUCCUUAACUGUCUAUCUAGAUUAAGGAUAGGGCUACGCAUAAGAUGUUGGAACCAAUUUCUCUCUUAUCUGAUGUAGGAGUCUAUGGCAAUAUUGCCACUUUCCUGGCCUAUGAUCCUAAUAGGCUGGGAUUUGGGAUCAUGGCACAAGGGAUGAGGGAACGGUUAAUCUUUCUUUUAACUUGUUUCAAAACUUAAGUAUUAAGUAACAUUCUAAUAAUCUUAAUUUUUAGAUUAAAAUUCUUUCAGGAAGAUUGAGUAAUUGUUUUUGUAAAUCCCUUACAAGUGUUUUCAACUUAUCUUUCCUGUGCUUAUCUACAUGCAUACAUAAGAUUACAAGUGCUUUGAAAUAAAGGCAAGACCAGCCUGAAUGUCAGACAACCAAGCAUUGUGUCUUGCAUAUACCAAGGAGUAGACAUAUAGUUCAUUAUCCAGUUUAAAUUCCAGAGCUAUCCCAUCUUGAAACAGUUCCAUAAACUGAUUUUUAACACAUAUAUUAGGCAUUUGUGAUAAACCAGAAAAAAAAUAUAUUAGAGUUAUUGAAAUAUUUAUAUGAACAUAUAUGUAAUAUAUGAAAUAUGUCCAAAUUAAUUGAUUUUUGUUUUAUUUAAAAACAUAAAUCACAAAUACUGUUUAUUCCUAGAACUGAUGGUUAUCUCGUUUCAUUCACCAAAGAAUCAGGCACAAAUACUCUUUCAGAGAAAACUGGAAACUUAAUAAGAAAUUUGUACUUGAAACUAAGGAAAGUUUGGUUUUCCAAAAUAUUUUGAGGUUUGCACAUAAUAUAAUUGAGUGUCUGUUUAAUUUACUAUCUGUAAUUUACUAUCAGUAGUUUUCUAUAACAUGCACUUAGAAACCAAGUAACAGAAGAAAUCCUACAUUUUCUGAUCACCAAAGUAUUAGUAAUAUUUUUGAAAACAAUUAUGUCAGUUUAACCUAUUUGCAAUUAAUUAGUUGUUUUAUAUAGUGGAAAUUUCUUAGACUCAUUGCUAGAACAAAACCUUACCCAGGAAAUAUUACCAGAAAUAAUUGAAUUCAGAAUGUGCUGCAAAGCUGGUGCCUAAAUAGAACAAAAUUGCCUUUGGGAGCAAUUCCAUCAGAACAACAUUCCAGCUUUGGCCUAAGAGAUUUGAUUGAUUUUGAUGAAGCUCUAAGAUGUUAGAUCCUGUGGUUAGGUUAUAAUUGCUACACAAAUGUAAAAAGGAUUUAAACAUGAUUUAUCAAAUAUAAUUGGAAGGUAAUUUGAAUAAUUUUUGUGUUGUUUUUCUGUCUUUAUGCAAUUAAAUGCACAUUUUUAGAAGAUAUGAACUGCUUUAUGUAAUGAAAACAAUAUAUAUUACAUUGAAGCGCUGUGUACUCUGAAUCUCAAAAUAUUCCUAUUAGCUAUAUCGAACAUAACUGAAAAAUUAACCUCAUGAUACAUGAUCAGAAUUAUAGUGCCUUACUGCUCUCCCCCCAUUUUUAUUUGGUAGUUUCAUGUUGCUUAGUAGCAUAAGGAACAUCAACAGAUACGAUACUUAAGCAGAUAUGAAGCUCAGAAAGAAAUUCAUGCUGCAAAGAGAACUAUUUAAAUACAUAAUAACUUGGGCUUUUGUUGUUUUAUUUUUUUAAAGCCUUAGACUAGACUAAAGAAGCCAAUAUGCUGGCUGAAAAAUCAUUUUAAUAUUGCAGAAAUGUUCUAAAGACCCUUAACUUCUGCACUCUAUUAUACAAAAAUCUAAGCAGCUUAUGAUUUACCUUGCUUCAGGGUAAAGUGCAACAUCAUAGGGUAAACGUAACUAUAUUAUUAUUACUCACUUAUAAUAUUAUUAUUUUCUAAUACUACUUCCCACUGCCUGUAAUACUUUCACUUGGAGAAUUUCAUAGCACUUUAUAUUAAUUAAUUGUCUGUACCUUAUUAAGGCACCAUUUUCAUCUUACAGGAAAUUGCAACUGAGCAACAUACAGUCAGUUCAGGAGCGCAAAUGCUUUGGAAAGUCACGGUUAAUGUGAUCUGCUUAAGGUCAUACAAAAGUAUGUCUAACCAAGAAAAAGCCUGGAAACACAGGGCUUCCAAUUCCCCUUCCAGUUCCAACUUUGUACUAUUUCAUGGCAGUUGCUCACAUCUCUUACAGUAACUUAUACUUGGGAAACAUGCUGAACUGAAAACCACUGAUUCCUCAGUGCUUCAGCAUAAUAUUGGAGCAUGAACUCAGGAUUUUAUUGUUUCAGGAUAUAUUUAUGCAAAAAUAGUGUUUAUUACUGAAAGCUCCAACAAACGGAGGCAGUCAGAAAAAAUAUAACAAAACACCAGUUUCUGUCUUGAAUUUAAAAACAUUUGGGGAGUUAAAAAAUAUACUGCUUUUCCUGUUUAUUCCUGUUAGAUAUCAUCUCAUCCCAACAAAGAGAUCAACUACUGAGAAGAGUGUAGGUCAGUCAUUUUAAGACUUGCUGGCACACAAAAAUUUGUAACAGCUAUAUUAUACUUCUGUAGUUAAGAGCAUCUCUGUCAAUGACUAUAUAUAUUAAAAAAAAAUAAUACUAAGCUAUAGCAGCCUAACUAAUCACAACUAGAGGCCACGUAAGGUGAACUGCUUUGGCAAUUAAAAAAAAAUAAAUAAAUCAUACUGUGAUGACAGUUAUGGCACUGUAAAGCAUCUAUGUACAGACUGGCUUUAUGUAAUAAGUAACUCUAAAUUAACAAUAACUACCUACCACUACAACAAGAACAUAAUUAAGUUCUCAAAUUUCUUAAACUGGAUUUUUCUUUUUUGUUUGGUAAAAGUAGAGCUAGAUACAUAGCAAAAUAGAUGCAAAUCUGCUCUCAGCAUAGUUUAAACAUAUUUUAAAAAAACUGGUGAAGAAAUAAUCCUGUGCAUAUGGGAUGCAUUGCUUAAUGUAAUCCAGUACCAUUUAUUCCAAUCCAAUAAAGGAAUAACUAAAUCUAUUAUUACUUCUAAUAUUUAAUUGCUAAGACAGUCAUUGAAAAAUCCUUUUCAUAAUACCUAAAUUCUACUUUAUAGAAUCAUUUGAGAAAUGAUGUAUUAAAAAAACACUGGACACAUGGUUGAAAUGAAAGUAUCCUCUUUAAUAUGAGGUGAAACCGAAAAAAUUCAGCCAUUUCUACCCCCACAGGUUAGAUACGUCUAGGCUGAGUUCAGAAGACAAUGAGGGCAUAGAAAUGUAUUCUGUGUGAAGUGUGAAGAAUAUUUAACAUUUUGAAAAAUUUUCCUACAUAGAAACAAUUAUGAAUAGAUUAUUUAAUAGAUGCAGUGCAAUUACCUUAGGUUUGUGUUAGAAUGAAAUUAGCAAUAAAUAGCUACAGCUUAAUAUGUGCAGAACUGUGUCCUGAAAGUCUCACUGUGAUCUGAUUCAGAAGAAUCCCAGAUAAAGAAAUACAUUUUUGUACAUAUGAAACUUGAAGUAGAAGCUUUCAUAGGGCUUGGUGUUACAAAACCACAUGCAAUUCUAGCAUCGUCACAUUUCUGCAAGAAUGCAGAAUUCUUUUCCAGGGUUGUUUAAAAUGGAAUGCAAGUUUAUGACCUUUCAAAAAGAACAAAAUCUCAUUUUUAGUUUUGCAAUCAAAUCCCAAUCAAAGUGAACUUUAUAUAGGCUCAGGCUUCUAUGGUAGAAUUUUGUCUCAGCUCUCACUAAAAAUAUAUUAGUGUAAUCUGGUUAAGCUUGGAUGACUACCAAGGGUAUUGAAUAGCAAAGUACAUUUCCAUUCCACACAAUUUCAGUCUUAAAGCUCACAUAAUAUUAAAAUUAGAGUGUAUAAGUGAAAAGAGUACUUUACAAACAUUGUUUUCUUUAAAUGUGCUUAAAUAUGUCUUUCAAGGUAUUAACAAGAAAUCCAAAACAUACUGAAAAUAAUUACAAGAACAACUGUUUUUAUGAUAUGUGGCUAUUUAGGCUGGGGACAUACUUUUGGGUUAGAGGUGUUACCAUCUAAAGACAUGAUUAUACUAUUAUUAUGCUCUUAUUAGGUUUAUCAUUGAUCAAUAGCUGGAUUUACUGUUCAUCUCUGCUGCAAAGAAUUGUUCAAGUGCUCCAUUGCUUCCUCUCCUAGCAGGAAAGGCUAUCUGUUUGGACAGUAUUGGUAACCCAUGUAAAAUCUGCUGUUUCUGCAGCAGAUUGCAAUUUCUCCUAACUCAGUCCAAAAUAAGGUGGAUUAUUUUAAUGGUUUAAAUAGCACCACUAAUUUAACUCCUUUUACUGAACAUAGCCAGAAAGUAAAUAUGCAAGUAGAUGAGUUGUCUAAUACAGGAGAAGAGGCACAUCUGGUGAAAGAAACAGCACCUCUAUUUGUAAAGAAAACUUCUGCCCAAGAUCUAAAGUGAAAAAUACCAUUUCCAAAACCAUUUCAGUCAACAAAUUGAAUUUGAACUCUAGGUACAGCUCUAUACAGGAAUGAAUCAGUCAAAUAAUUUACAAAAGUCAGUAUGAGGCAUGGCACUUCACCCCAAAAAACAUUUGCUCAGCUAUCCUUACAUUUUAAGAGGAGUUGCCUAUGCAAAUUAAAAUAGUUAAGAACAGCUUCAUUAGUAGGCUUGCCUAAAGAUAGGUCCUGAAGGAAAAGCUAAAGCUGCAAAAAAAUGUAUUUGAAUUCUAAUUCUUGUACAAUAAAUGCUACAGAACAGACAGAGAUUUGACAAUAGAUGGGCCAGUAAAAUAAAUGAAUGGAAAAAAAAAAAGUACAUUGGCAUUAGAGAGAGGCAUUUGAAAGCACUGCAUAGGUGAACCUGAAUUCAAUAUCGCAUCAUUACAGGUAAAAGUGUAAGUUAUAAAAUAUAUAUUAUAUAUUUUGAGGUAAAAUAAUAUAUAUUUUACCUCAAGUAUUCCCUGAAACUUACGAAGUGUGAAAGGAGAUUUAUCAGCACAUGAUAACCAUUUAUCUUCAGAAAGAGCAUGAAACUGUUCUGCUACAUGUUUACUCUAUAUUCCACUGCCAGAUUAAUGGUAAUAAUAAAAUCAUGUUCCCAUUGUCAUUACUGGGCUUUAUCAAAUAUCUGUCAGGGGAUGUUAGUCAGUUUCCAUGGAUAUACACAGCUUUGACAUGAAAAGUACCUUCCACAUCUGUCAUGGAAAAUAUCUGAUGCAAACUGUAGAAAGCAAGACAGGCUGAGUAAAAUAACACCUAACACCUUGCAGCUUUGCAACAGAGUUUCAACUUGAGUUCCACUGGGCUCUGGUUACGCCAAGAAUAAGAGACUAAGAAAGACAAAAAGGACCAGAGAUCCCAGAAACAAAUAAACAUUGCAGUAAUUCGUAUUACUGAUAAAGAAUGCUAAUGUUUUUGUACGGACUUAUGUAUUUUGAUCACUUUCAUUUUACUUAAACUAUAGAUGUAUUUUUAGAAAGGCGAUGCACUAAGACACCUUUCCCAAAAGGGGUACUUCCUAAAAAACAUGAUGCCACACUCUGUCACAGAAUACUGUCUUGCUGUUGUAACUCUUCCAGAAAUGAAAGAGUCUAACUGUGUCUCUAUAAGCUUCAACACAAAAACCUAAACUAUCCCAAAGAAAGACAAAGAAAUUAACAUUUUCAACUCCUAAUAUCAGCAAUGAAUUUCUUUGGAUGAAGCUUUUACAAAUGAAAUUGCAGUUUUGUAACAGCCGACAGUUACUAUCUUUCAGAGUGAAAAUAAGAAUAAAAAAGAAAAUAGGUAUUUGGUGGCUAAAGAUAGGAGCUGCAAAAUAACAUCAACUGGCUGCAGGCUUCACUUCUACCAGGUACACAGACUAUAAUGGACUUAAAGAAAAGCUAAGAAAGGUUAGCAUAAACUAUAAACACAUUAAAUCAUUGGCAGGUGAUAUUAGCAGAUACAAGUUUUGAAAAAAUUUGCUUCCCUAAGGCUAGCAUAAUGUUUUCUAAUUCCUAUUUCUGAUAACUCAAGAUAGAAAAUAGCCUGAUGAUAAUAUGACUGCAAAUUUAUAGCAGUAUAUACAGUAAUAUAUACAGUAAAAAUAAUCUUUUUUUUGUGCUAAAUAAACUUCCUACAGACGUAGCCUACAAAAUUAUAUUUUACGAUAUCUUUUAAAAUAUCAUAAUCAACCACCCACAUAAUAAAACCAUCCACAUAAAGGUUACUGAAUUAUAAUUUCAUAAAGACCCCUCUGUAAAACUGGGCACAGUCUAAGCAUGCCGCUAAACAGAGAAAAUAAAUUCCUGUUCCUAUUAAGAUAUAAAAUACAGAUAGUGGUCAGAUUAAUACUGAUGACAAGGCCAAUUUUAUGUGUGUAAUCACUCUACAUAUCACAUUGGCAUAUUUCAAAUGGAACCACAUUAUCAAUUUAUUGAAUUAAACUUACACUUGUAAUUGUUAAUUAUGCAUCAGGACCGAUACAAACAGAAGUGACAAAGAUCCCAUGCCAGGCCUUCACCCAAAUAAGCAGUAACUGCAUAAUUAUAAAAUGAUAAAUAGCUGAUAACUAGCUUCUGUGUUAAUUUCUACAGAUCUUGCUAAGACAAAACUUCAGCUUCUCUACCUCUCUUCUAAAUCUUAGAAUAUUAUUCAUUUACCCACUUCCAUUGUCACAAAGAAAACCUUGAUACUCACUGAUGUUUAGGAAUUCAAAUUAGAAUGAAUUUGCUGCAGAUUUAUGAGACCUGUCUUUCAAAGGAAAAGAUUCCUCAGAAGGUAAGAGAUGACAGCAGAAGCAUUCAAUAGGGAAACAAAGCUCUAUGUUGUAUGAAACAGCAAAUUCCUACAGAACAUCCAAGUUCUCACAGUAGUGAGAGUGUAACAGAGAUCCUAGUGAGUGCUUCCAGAGUGAGUACUUACUGGCACUAUAAAAACGACAAUAAACACUUGUUAAUCUGAUCUGGUGGGGAUUCUGAAGCACUACAACUUCAGGGACUAUGAAAAGGGAAAACUCUGUCUCACAGGAGAGUUUUUUCUGGGCAGAACUUGUCAAUAUUAUUCCUUGAGUUCUUAGCACAGCUCCAAUGCAGAGUGAGAAUACUCCAGACAGUGCUUAACAGAUGGUGGCAGCUGAACUAGGAGCUACCCAGGGCAGCCAGGAAUGAUGUGGCAAGUUAGCCAGGGAGAGAAGCCACAAAGCAGGAGGCUCAUGGGCCAGGAGGCUCCUUUGUUCCCACCUUGAACUCUCUCCCAAAGUUAAACACUUCAGCCAAGUAUGCCCCUUUGUAGCUUACCUACUCCUAUAUAUACUUAGAUCUAUUACCUACUCUUACCCUCUAGUAUCUUACCUACUCUUUUUAGUAACUUCUCAGGAGAGUUUACCAAGGCUCUGGUAUUAGCCUUGUAAAUGUUGACUGAACAAUGUUUAAGAAAUGCUUCAUAAGUGCAUGAAAUCAAAGAACGUUUUA